CAGUUCGGAUCGCAGUCUGCAACUCGACUGCGUGAAGGUGGAGUCGCUAGUAAUCGCGGAUCAGCAACGCCGCGGUGAAUGCGUUCCCGGGCCUUGUACACACCGCCCGUCAAGUCAUGAAAGUGGGCAGCACCCGAAGACGGUGGCCUAACCCUUGUGGGGGAGCCGUCUAAGGUGAGGCUCGUGAUUGGGACUAAGUCGUAACAAGGUACC
rnacentral:rRNA from 1 species